GAUGAACGCUGGCGGCGUGCUUAACACAUGCAAGUCGAACGGAAAGGCCCUGCUCUUGCUGGUCUCUCGAGUGGCGAACGGGUGAGUAACACGUGUGUAACCCGCCCUUGUCUUUGUGAUAACUUCAGGACACUGGGGCUCAUACCGCAUAGGAGCUCCUGCUGCAUGGUGGGGGUUGGAUAGUUUCGGCGGUUGGGUAUGGUCUCGCGGCUUAUCCGCUUGUUUGUGGGGUAGUGGCUUACCAAGGGUUUGACGGGUAGCCGGCCUGGGAGGUUGACCGGGCACAAUGGGACUAAGAGACGGCCCAGACUCCAACGGUAGGCAGCAGGCGGAAAGAUUGCGCAAUGGGCGCGAGCGUGAUACGACAGCGCCGCGAGCGGGAUGAUGGGCUUCGGGUUGAAAACCACUGUGGCAGGUGACGAACCGUGAGUGACGGUAAUGGGUAAAAAAGCACCGGCUAACUACGUG
rnacentral:rRNA from 1 species